rnacentral:rRNA from 1 species
UCCAGACUCCUACGGGAGGCAGCAGUGGGGAAUAUUGCACAAUGGGGGAAACCCUGAUGCAGCGACGCCGCGUGAGUGAAGAAGUAUUUCGGUAUGUAAAGCUCUAUCAGCAGGGAAGAAAAUGACGGUACCUGACUAAGAAGCCCCGGCUAACUACGUGCCAGCAGCCGCGGUAAUACGUAGGGGGCAAGCGUUAUCCGGAUUUACUGGGUGUAAAGGGGGCGCAGACGGCGAUGCAAGCCAGGAGUGAAAGCCCAGGGCCCAACCCCGGGACUGCUCUUGGAACUGCGUGGCUGGAGUGCAGGAGGGGCAGGCGGAAUUCCUGGUGUAGCGGUGAAAUGCGUAGAUAUCAGGAGGAACACCGGUGGCGAAGGCGGCUUACUGGACUGUAACUGACGUUGAGGCUCGAAAGCGUGGGGAGCAAACAGGAUUAGAUACCCCAGUA